rnacentral:rRNA from 1 species
UACGAAGGGGGCUAGCGUUGCUCGGAAUCACUGGGCGUAAAAGCGCACGUAGGCGGCUUUUUAAGUCAGGGGUGAAAUCCUGGAAGCUCAACUCCAGAACUGCCUUUGAAUACUGAAGAUCUUGAGUUCGGGAGAGGUGAGUGGAACUGCGAGUGUAGAGGUGAAAAUUCGUAGAUAUUGGGAAGAACACCGAUGGCGAAGGCAGCCAUCUGGACCGGCACUGACGCUGAGGCGCGAAAGCGUGGGGAGCAAACAGG